UCACGUUGUAUCUUUUGAAGAUUAAGAAUAAGCCAAGUGCCAGUUGAAAUAUCGUAUCCAUGAACUGAGCAAUCUUCAAUGGCUUCAUGGAUUACAGCGAGUGGAGCAGCAGGAUAGAGGCGUAGUGUUUCUUUAAUGACAGAUUGGAGGUACACCAAGUUUUUAGUAUCUGAUUCUGUAACUAAGAGUCUAUCUUUACCAACAUGAAUGUCUAAUUCUUGUUUGACCUUGUUCAAUGCAUCGCGAUUAUUGAGUAAUAAAGAUAAAGCCCAUGUCAUUGUAAUUGAUGUGGUAUCUUCCGCAGCUAAGAUAAGUGCCUAUUAAAUCAUUUACCGUAAAACUAUUAAUAUCAGAUUGAAAUUGGUAUUCAGGCGAAUGAUGAAUAUAAAUAUCAAACAAAUAUAGGAUUUGAUUAAGAAAUGUACGUACGAGACUGACGGCUUUGUUGAUGGUAUCGGCAUCGUGCUCCUCUGCAUCACGAAGAAUAGAUAGCAUCACUCCCAUGAAAUCUUCCUCACUGUUUGCCUCAUUUUCAGCUCUCUUUUCUUUGUGCUCUCGUAGCCAUUCCUCCACAACUUGGUCCAAUUCUUUGGCUACCUUCUUCAUAAGCUUUUUGUCGCCACCAAAGUCCGACCAUCUCAGAUACGGUAAGGCAUCCGAUACCACGAACUUUCCAGUUAGUUCAAACAAGUCGUCCAACGACUUCUUCCAUUUCACGGUUUCAUCUCCUUCGUAUGAAUUCGGUAUUCGCUUCCCUACAACAAUCCUUAGUAUCACGUUAAGAGUAACAUCUCUGAACCAUCUCUUCAUCUCCACAAUUACUUUGCCACAGUUACUACUUUUCUUCUUGUUCCACAUCUGGUAUAAUUGUUGCAGUGAUGCCUUCACCUCGGAUUCCCGCACAGGUUUAAGCAAUUCGAGUCGGUGAUUUGAGAGGAGCUCAAUAGUGGCGAAUUUGCGCACUUGACGCCAAUAAGGUCCAUACGGUGCAAAGGCUAUCAUGGCAGAGUUGUAACCCAAAAUUUCCCAGCUUGCAAGCUUUGGACGAGUGGCAAACGCUUUAUCGUUUAUGGUGAGACAUUCUUUAGCUAUCUCCCAAUUGCUCACCACCAAAGCUCUAUGCACACCCAACCUGAUGGUGAAGAUUCCUCCAUAUUUGUCUGCCAGGUUACCCAAGCUUAUAUGAGGUGGUUGUGGCCCUCCUAAGAGGCGGAGAUGACCAAUAAUAGGCCAUGCUCCACCAGCUUCUGGUGCUGUUUUCUUCAAGUUUGUGUUUCUUCUUGAGAUCCAUAGGAAAGAGAAAAGAAACAGUAGUGGAAAAGUAAUGAUUGCAACAGUUGAUGUUACUGUGACUGAAUGAAAAUAAUCCAUUUCUGGAUUCUUACUUUAAUCUAAGAUCUAUACGCAAUAGCAGAGAUGAGAGAGUUGGAUUUAUAGGGUUAAUUUAAUGUCACCGCAGCGCAGGGGUAUCAUCAUUCACCAUUUAUUCAACCGAUAGCAUCCCUAUUUGCCUUUUAACUUAUGGUUCAGAAGGUAAUAAAUUCUCUCUAUGAAUUUUGGGUCUCGUUGUGGAAAACAGUGUAUUGACCUAGGAAAUUCAUAGAUCUAUAUGCGGGAGUUGGAUUUAUAGGGUUAAAUAAUGUCACAGCAUCGCCUAUCAUUAUUGACCACUCUUUCAACCGAUAGCAUUUUUUUUUUGUCUUUUAAUAUAAGGUUGGAAAGAAAGAUAUAUAUAUAUUCUCUUUUCAUUUUGUCUCCCAUCGUUGAAAACUGAGUAUAUCGACUGCUAAAUAUUAUUGAGAAAUACAUAUUAAUCUUUAGUUGUCAAAAUGGCUAAUUGUGAUCAACCGCAAGAGCCAAAACAGUCCAUAUAGUAUUAGACCUUACAAUUGGGCUAAACGUCUCAUAUUAAUCAUAGCCUAUCACUUUUGUCACCAACCUGGAUUUAUAUCAAGCUAUUGAUCCAUCGGGGUUCAUUCUGAUAUUAAAUAACCAUUUACAACUAAUAGGCUUUCUUCUUAGGGGAAAAACUUACAGAGACUAAGUACCAUUCUUGAGAAGGGCAUCUAAUUCCUCCUUCACAGCUUCCUGCCAAGAUGGAUGCUUCAUCGCCUCAUGCAUAUUCACAAGAUCAAUUUCCUCGUGUGCAACAACCAUAUAGACCUUGGUUUUAAAAACACUAGCCUUGGCUCUUGUAAACAUAAGAUGUUGAUUGUUAUAAUCGGAUACACUAAAGAUUAUAAGAUUCUAAAUUUGUGAGUAAAUAUAAUUAUGUAAUAUUCAAGAUAAGUUUUCAAUUAAAUUUUUGUGGAGAAAAAAUAGUUGAUAAUAAUAUAUUAGAAUUUUUAUUUUAACUUUUCAUGCAUCGAUGUAAUAUAUUCCUACAGUAACAAUAUCAUGAAAAAGAUUUUAAAAAAUACUCGGUGGUUAAAUCUCAUACAUUUUGGUAGUUGUACAAAAUAAUGAAUGGUAAAUAAAAAAUUAUAAAAGUUAUCCACUGGUUUGACUCCAUUGCAAAAGUGAAUAGAAUAAUACAUAGUAAUUUUAAUAAGAGAAGAAACCAUGGUCAUGAUCAGGGUUACCAUACCAUACGUAAUCAUUACUAUUAUCAUGGAGUUAACGAUUAUUUUAAUAGUGAAAGGAAAGAGAAAAGUAAUCUAACUCAUCUUUCAACAAUCGUUAAAUUUUUGCUGUAUAUUAUUAAUGUGGUAUGAAUAAGCAUACAGUUCCUUAGUAUCUUAUAAAGUUUGAUGAGGAAAUGUUCAAUUUCCAUUUGUCCAAUACCAUUUUUAUAGAACAAUAAAUAGAUUGAAAUUUGACACCUAAAUUAGGCUUUUAUCCAAUUAGGUUUUUGAGCAAUUGACUUUUUGGUUCAAAUUAGUACAUGAAUUUAGUUUCGUAGUUCAAACUGGUUCAAAUAAAUUAUUUACUGUAUGUACUAAUUUGGACCAUAAAACUUAAUGCAGAUACCAAUUUGAACCAAGAAACCUAGUUCAAGUGUCUAAUUAGACCAAAAUAAACUUUAAGUACCAAAUUGAACUUUAAAGACACAUUCACGUAUUUAAUUGGACAAAAAAAAAACAUUAGGUACUAAUUUGAAACUUGAAACUAAGUUUAGAUACCAAAAUGUAGAUUUACCCAAAAAUAAAUAAGAUAGAUAAUGGUUUUUCCUUUUAUAUCAUUAUUGAGAGAGAUAGAUAACAAAAUGUACUAUUUAAGUGCCAUAUGCCAAUCUUAACCCAUGUUUCAAACAAGUUUUGGUAAUAGGAGAAAAAAGUCAAAUUUGCUGACUUUUUAGGGGUUAAAAAUUAAUUUCAUUGAGCUGACUCAAUCUUGACUUAAUUGUCAUUAAUAUUUUUAUUAAUGCAAAAGAUCAUGUGCUUGAGCGUGUUAAAACAUGUCAUUACAAAAUAACUCAUUUUUACUGGUAUUUAUAAGCGUCGGUAAAAGUAAGAAAAAGGCCUAUAAUAAUUUUACUGGCAUUUAUUUGACCGCCGGCUAAGCUCGUGCUAGUAAAAUUUUCCGGCGGGCUGGCCACAAGUGCCAGUAAAAUGCAAAACUUUUGUUGGCACAAAUUUUCCCAGCACUUUCAAAUCUAGUCGAAAGUAAAAUACUUUUUAAGACAAUUUAAGAUGCGAGUAAAAUUCAUAUUAAAAUUUUAAAAACUUUCAAAGAAUUUAUAAAUUUCGACAACUUGUGCUGUUCCGGCUCCUGUUAACGUCGCUAUUGCAUGCGCGUGACAUCCCUGAAAUCAACACAUCCCACAAAUCAACAUAUGUAUAUAAGAUUAAUUGCUUAAUACAGGUCAGAGAUUACGUUACUAACUUCAAAGCGGGAGAGACCAUUUCCAAAGAUGAAAUCCACUGAACCUUCAAUGUAACAAUAUUUAUAGUUCUCUCACCAUUAUAUAUAUAGUUAAGUAUUAUCAUGGUUCUUUCUCUAUUAUGUAUAUAUCAUCAUUGUUUACUUAUUCAACAAAAGUAUCUUUUAUCUUUUAUCGUUUAAUUAUGAUUCUCACUAUUAUAUAGUAUGCUCAUUCACUAUUCAUUCAAGGAAAGCUUAUCUCUCCUUUAUAUAUAUAUUUAAUCGAGCGGAAUUGCAUCACUUCUUAUUCACAUUACAUUUAACAGCCUCUUAGUUUUAUUAAUUUAAUUUUACUUUCAUCCACUUAAUUUUAUUUUACAUUCUUCUAGCAUGUGUACUACGUACUAGGAAAUAAUGUGUGAAGAAAUAAAAUAUUUGAAAAGGUACAGUCUUUAUCAUUUUGAAGUAUUUGGUUCUAGAAUUUUUUUAGAGAAACAAUCUUUAAUUGAUAUCUGAAAAUAAAAGGUAAAUAUAUAUUUUGGUACCUGAAUUCAAGGUUUAAAUUAGUAAUUAAGGUUUUUUUUUUUGGUACCUAAACUAGACUUUCAGGUUCAAUUUGGUACCUGAACUUUUUUUUAUCCAAUUAGGUGCCCUGAACAAUUGACUUUUUGGUUCAGCGUGAACUUUGUUUCAUAGUUCAAACUGGUUCGAAUAAAUUAUUUACUAUAUGUACCAAUUUGGAUCAUAAAACCAACUGCAGUUAUCAAUUUGAAUCAAGAAAUCAAGUUCAAGAAUCUAAGUAGACUAAAUAAACUUUAAAGAUAAGUUCACAUAUUUAAUUGGAUAAAAAAACCUUGCAUAUGAUACAAUUACAUGACAAUUAUGGUACGAAAUUUAUUGAAUUCUACUCAUUUUAUUAUAAUAAAAUUAUAAUACCAAUUAGUUAGUGGUAUCGUAAACAAAAACAGGAAGGCGAGGAGUUAUAUGAACUUCUAAUGGAGUUGCUUUAGAAUUCGUUAACCCAAGUGCUUCACUCAUAUCGACAGCUUCGUUUGACGGAGUCUCAAACUCAAACCAAUGCAAUACAUUAGCUAGUGUAAAAAGCAAAAUUUGAAGUGCAAAUGAAACUCCAGGGCACAUUCUUCUACCACUUCCAAAUGGAAUCAGUUCAAAAUUCUGUCCUCUCACAUCAAUGUCUUUGUGAGUAGUCAUAAAUCUUUCAGGUUGAAAUUCAAAAGGGUUUGCCCAUAUAAGUGGAUCAUGAUGAAUCUUAUAAAGAUUCAUAAUAAGCCAGGUGCCAGCUGAAACAUGGUAUCCAUUAACCGUGCAAUCUUCCAUGGCUUCAUGGAUCACGGAGAGUGGAGCAGGAGGGUAUAAGCGUAGAGUUUCCUUAAUGAUAGAUUGAAGGUACACUAAGUUUUUUGUGUCUGAUUCGGUCACAAGUAAUCUAUCCUUACCAACGUGAACAUUUAGUUCUUGUUGGACUUUACUCAAUUUGUCACGAUUAUUGAGUAGCAGAGAUAAGACCCAUGUCAAUGUGAUUGAUGUGCUAUCCUCCGCGGCUAAGACAAGGCUCUGUUAGAUCAAAUACCAUGAAAAGAUCAACAAUGAAAUAAUAGCAUUUCCAACUUAUGUAUGUUAUUAAUAGCAAUCUUGACCAAAAACAAUUUAAAUAUGUCAUUAAUAACAAUCUAUUUGGUUAAGAGAUAUGCACGUACGAGACAAGUGGCUUUGUUGAUUGUAUCAGCAUGGUGUUCCUCCCGAUCACUGAGAAUAGACAGCAUCACUCCCAUGAAAUCUUCCUCACCAUUUGCCUUAUUUUCAGCUCUUUUCUGCUUGUGCUCUCGUAGCCAUCCCUGCACAACUUGGUCCAAUUCUUUCCCUGUCUUCUUCAUGCACUUCAUGUCUCCACAUAUGUCCAACCAUCUCAGAAACGGCAAAGCAUCUGAUAUUAAGAACUUUCCACUUAGUACAAUGAAGUCAUCCAUCGACUUCUUCCAUUUCAACUGUUCAACUCCUUCGCUGGAAUUUGGAAUUCGCUUCCCUACAAUCAUCCUCAUAAUCACGUUCAGAGUAACUUCUUUGAACCAUCCCUUCAUCUCUACCAAUACUUUAUCAGAGUUAGCAAUUCUCUUCUUGUUCCACAGCUGGUACAACUGUUGCAGAGAUGUCUUCACCUCGGAUUCCCUUACAUGUUUAAGUAAUUCGAGUCGGUGAUUGGAGAGGAGCUCAAUAGUGGCUAUCUUGCGCAUAUGACGCCAAUAAGGUCCAUACGGUGCAAAGCCAAACAUGGCUCUGUUGUAAGCCAAAAGUUCCGAGCUUGCAAGUUUUGGACGAGAGGCAAACGCUUUAUCAUUUGUGGUGAGACAUUCUUUAGCAAUCUCCCAAUCGCUCACCACCAAAGCUCUAUGCACACCCAACUUGAUAGCGAACAUUCUUCCAUAUUUGUCAGCCAUGUUAGCCAAGCUUAUGUGAGGUGGUUGUGGCCCUCCUAAGAGGCGCAGAUGACCAAUAAUAGGCCAUGCUCCACCAGCUUCUGGUGCUGUUUUCUUCGAGUUUUUGUUUCUUCUUGAGAUCCAUAGGAAAGAGAAAAGAAACAGUAGUGGAAAGGCAAUGAUUGCAACAGUUGGAAUUGCUGUGACUGAAUGGAAAUAAUCCAUCGCCAGAUUCCCACUUUAAGAUAAGAAAUGGGAAGUGAGUAGCAGAGAUAAGAAUAUAUAUAUAUUCAAUCUUUGAAUUUUGUCUCGUUGUGGAAAACCGAGGAAAUUCAUAGAAGAUUUAUAUGAGGGAGUUGGAUUUAUAGGGUUAAGUAAUGUCACAGCAUCGCCUAUCAUUAUUGACCACUUAUUCAACCGAUAGCAUUUUUUUGUUUUUUUUUUUUUUUGUCUUUAAUAAAUACUAUUGACCGCAAACUAUUACAAAUUGUCUUAUCAUCUCAAGUAAUUUUUUUUCUUGGAUCUGCAAAUUUUCUUCCAACACAAUCAUCCUUCGUCAUAUAAAAAAAUUAAUCUUUUUUCACUUUCCAUUUGUCCAAUACCUUUUUUAUAGAACAAUAAUUAGAUAACGUAGUUAAACAGGUAUCAUAUGGUCCAAUUAAAAACAGGGCCACCUCGUGGAUCUCGUGAGCAAUAGAUUUCAUUUAUUUAAUAAGGAUCUAUUAUUUUAUAAUAUGGGGUUUCGAUUUUUCAACAUCUUUUAUAUAAUUAUUUAUUAAAUAUAAUCUAAAAUCCAACAAACAGUAGCAAUUAAUUAUUGGAUUCAUCAACAAAAGUAGGAAGACUUUUAAUGGAGUUAUUUUAAGAUUCGUGAAUUUUAGACCUUCAUACAUAUCAAUACCUUCACAUAUAUCAAUUACUUCAUUUGAUAGAGAUGGUCAACCAGCAGCUCGCACAAAUGGCAAACAGUCUAAAUACGAAUUAAUUUGUGGAUUGUUAUUUGAGGAAUUGUCUCGUGAACUGACAUUAUGCAGACAGUUCAUAUAUGAUACAAGCAUGGCGGACUGUCUAAGUGAGAACAAAUUUGCGGACACAUGAAACUGUGCUCAAUAUGGCGGGAUUGAAGAAAUGCGGACUAUAUCCGCAGAAUGCGCGUGCUGACUGCAUCCAUAAUUAGAAUAAGCUACUAGUGAUGAGUGCGUGUUUGUUUUAAGUAAAAUCAAUUUUAGUGUGCUCUUUUGAAUGUUGUUCUUAUUGUAUUUACAACAUAUCAGUUUGAAUGAAGAAAAAAAAUUGAGAGGAGCUCAAUAGUGGAAAUCUUGCGCAUUUGACUCCAAUAAAGUCCAUAUGAUGCAAAGCCAAUCAUGGCUCUGUUGUAACCCAUAAGCUCCGCGCAUGCAAGGUUUGGACGAGUUGCAAAUGUUUUAUCGUUUAUGGUAAAGACAUUCUUUUGCAAUCUCUCAAUUGUUCAUCACCAAAGCAGGGCGAAGUAAGAACAAUUUUUUAAGGUUGAAUGAAAUAUUAAUUUUUUUUAUAAUUUUUAAAGGAUUAAUCGAAUUUUUAUAAUUUUAAGGGGACCAAAGUGUAAUUUUAUUUUUACUAAUUUAAAAUUAUAAAAAAUUUUAAAUGGUCUAAAUACUAAGCUUUCAUUUUAGGGGGUCAAGGCCCCUGCCAACCCCCCUAGCUUCGCCUCUACACCAAAGCUCUCUGUACACCCAACUUGAUAAUGAAUAUUCCUCCAUAAUUGACAGCCAUGUUAGCCAAGGUUAUGUGAGGUGGUUGUGGCCCUCCUAGGAGGCGGAUAUGGCCAAUAAUAGGCCAUGCUCCACCAGCUUCUGGUGCUGUUUUCUUCAAGUUUGUGUUUCGUCUUGAGAUCCAUAGGAAAGAGAAAAGAAACAGUGGUGGAAAAGCAAUGAUCGCAACAGUUGAAGUUGCUGUGACUGAAUGGAAAUAAUCCAUUGCUAGAUUGCUACUUCAAUGGUUAAAUCUAUGAUCUGCAUGCAAUAGAUAAGAUGUGGGAGUUGGAUUUAUAGGGUUAGGUACCCUCAUCAUCGACUAUUCGUACAGGAAAGUCUUUUUCUAUUUUUUAAUUUAUGGUUUUCUCUCAAUUAUAUAUAUUUAUAUGAUUAAGUAUUAUCAUGGUUCUUUCCAUUAAAUACAUACAUAUGUAUGAAUGGUUAGGUAUGAUUAUUCAUAUAGAGAAAUUGAAUUUAUGGUUCUCUCUCCAUUAUAUAUAGUUAAAUACUAUCAUGGUUCUCUCUUUAUAUAUAUAUAUAUAUAUAUAUAUAUAUAUAUAUAUAUAUAUAAUUAGGUACAAUCAUCACCGUUUACUCAUUCAACGAAAAUAACUUUUUUUUAUCAUUAAAUAUAUGAUUUUCUCUCCAUUAUAUAUAUGGUUACAGAUUAUCAUGGUUCUCUCUUCAUUAUAUACAUAUAUAUAUAUAUAUAUAUGGUUAGGUAUUAUCAUGGUUCUCUCGAUUAUUGACCUCUUAUUCAGCCGUAACAUCUUUUUUAUUUUUUGUUUUUUUCUUUUAAUAUAAGUUUUGAAAGUUUUAUAUUCUAUCUUUUUAUGUUGUCUCUCUCAUGGUUGAAAACUGAAUAUAUCGACAGCUAAAUACUAUUGAAGGAGAUCCGCUUUUGAGUUGAAUCCGGUGGCAUUUUUCGAGUCUUUUCUUCGUUCUUCUCUGAGUGCUCUCUUAGGUCUUCUUCUAAUUGUUAUUUAUAGAUUUUAAUACUCAGAAAGCCUAAAAAUCGAGUUUUUUCACGUGUUUGGGAAACAGGGUGCAAAAUCGACAUGGGCUGGCACAUGGGCAUGUGGCCAGCCCGUGUGAGUCACACGGGUGUGUGGCCAGCCUAUGUGGAAGUGCUCAGGUCGUGUGGAUACUGAAAACAACUCUUUUAGAUCGACUUUGGCUUAUUUUUCACUCCUUUCAGCCCCUAUGCUCACCUAAAUAUAGAAACAUAAAUUAAAAGGAUUAGGAUCAUCAAAUUCACUAAUUUUCAUAAUAAAUCAUCUAAAAAUGCAUCAAAAAUAGAAUUAAAAACAUGUUUCUUUUAUUGCUUAUCACAAUCUCCCAAUUGCUCACCACCAAAGCUCUAUGCACACCCAACUUGAGCACGAUAGCAAUGACGUACUAAAACACAAUAGAGAUGUACUUAAAGACAAGUCUAUAGUUUUUAAUGGAAUAAAAUUAAAAUUUAUUUAUUAAAUAAAUGUGUAAUGAUAAAAUAAGCUUGGGGUAAUGAAGAAAUGUCAAGCCUUUAUUUUACUUUUUUUUUUUGUUUCCUUUUGUUUUCCACUAAAUAAGCUGUUGGAUUAUGCUUUAUUCUUCUAAUACGUACCUAUAAAAUAAUACAAAUUUCGGAAUUGUCCAAGAAAAUAUCCAAUGUAUAAAUCUAUUGGUUAUCUAUUCAAAAUAUAUUUUUUAUUCAAUGAUAAAACAUUUAUUUGUUUGUGAUUAAAAAAUAUCCGAUCAUAUGGAUCUCUUGAGAGAUAGAUUUCAUUAAUUUAGUUUAGAGAUGAAUAUUGUAGUCUGAUUAAUUUAAUUAACUAUCUUGUGAUAUUGGAUCUCAAUCAAUAUCAUUGAUGUUAUUCUAAGAUAUUAUGAUUUUUUUAUUUUUUUAAAUAAUACAUAAGUUAAUUGAGAAAUUUUUUUUUCAUCAUGAUUAUUAUAAAAAAAAUUUAGUGUAUAAUUUAAAGUUUUGGAAAGAAAUUUUUUUUUAAGUUUUUCAAUCAAAUUUAAGAUUUUAGAACUAAACUCAGGAUUCAAUGGUAUUAACUAGACUCUUUCAAUAUCUAACUAAGAGAAUUGAACAAAAUUGAAAACUGAAAAAAUUGAUUACAUAUUGAUUUUCAUUAAGAUAAAAACAUAAGUUACAUGACAGUUUCCUAAUACAUAACUGCUCCCACUAAUUGCUUUACUAACAUAGCUUAAAUUACACACAAAAUAAAGCUGACUUAUCAGCCAUUUCACAUUUGAACAUCAUUCAAAUCAGUAACUAAUAUUACUAACUUUAAAUACAAAUUACAUAAGAACUAAAUCUAGUUACACAUGAACAAAAUGUUGCUGUUGUACUGGUUGAGCUUCAAUGCUUCUCUGCUGUUGCAUGGCAGGCCAAGGUCAACAGCUAUUAGUUAAGAUGUGGUUGGUCACUAUGUCAUAAACAAAAACAUGACUGAGUAACUUCCCAUUGAUUUGUACUUCACUUUCUUGCAAUUGAUAAAUAUCAGCAUUAAAUUGUAAACGCAGCACCAUUUAGAGGAUCAAACCUCCUUUAUAUGCUUAGUAGAAAAGGGUUCAAAAACUGAUCCGUAUGAAAAUUGUAACUCAUGCAAUAUAAGGUACACACCUACUAUGUACUUAUCUUUUUCAGGUAAGAGCAGAAUUAACCAAACUUACAUCAAGUCAGUCCACAUCAAGAAUUUUAUCAAAAACCUUCCUUUUAAAAUUGAAAUUUCUUUUUCACACAUACCUUGGAUACAAGCAAGACAAAUUAUAAGAGCAACUAGAAACAAAAGAGCCCAGAAACUGCUACAAUCACCACCACCCAUAAACAGCUUGUGUGAACGUAUCUUUCAGCCACCUAAAGCUCAACCUCAAUGACCCUUUGACCUUACCUUCAACACGAUACAUCUUGUAGCUAGCAACCCUUUUCUUCUUUUGGAACUCAGAGUAUUUGUACGGGUAUCCUUGAAAACACAAGUUCAAUGAGAAAAGUUAUCCUUCAACUGGUCACUUGGAUUAAGACUUGAGAACAUAAUUGCUCAAUGAGAAAUAUCAACAGGCAUUGAGACUUGAAAUCAUUAGUUUAUUUUGGUAAAAAAAAAUCCAACCAACAAUAUCAAUUAGUUGGCCAUUUGGUAAACAAAGGCAGGAAGGCGAGGAGUUAUUUUAACUUCCAAUGGAGUUGCUUUAGGGCUCGUCAAUCCUGGAGCUUCUCGCAUAUCAACUGCUUCUCCUGAUAGUGUCUCAAUCUCAAACCAAUGCAACACAUUAGCUAAUGUAAGUUCCAAAAUCUUAAGCGCAAACGAAAUUCCAGGGCACAUUCUUCUACCACUACUAAAUGGAAUCAGUUCAAAGUCAUGUCCUUUUACAUCAAUGUCUUUAUGAGUAGUCAUAAAUCUUUCUGGUCGAAAUUCUGAAGGAUCUUCCCAUAUUUGUGGAUCACGUUGUAUCUUUUGAAGAUUGAGAAGAAGCCAAGUACCAGCUGAAACAUGAUAUCCACUAACCGAGCAGUCUUCAAUAGCUUCAUGGAUUACACUGAGUGGAGCAGCAGGGUAUAUGCGUAGUGUUUCCUUAAUCACAGAUUGAAGGUACACUAAGUUUUUGGUGUCUGAUUCAGUCACUAGGAGUCUAUCCUUGCCAACAUGCAUGUCUAGUUCUUGUUUGACUUUGUUCAAUGCAUCACGGUUGUUGAGUAAUAAAGACAAAGCCCAUGUCAUUGUGAUUGCCGAGGUAUCUUCCGCCGCUAAGAUAAGAUUCUGUUAAAUCAUUUACCAUCAGACCAUUAAUAUCGGUUUGAAAUUGGAAUUCCUUUGAAAAAUGAAUAUAAAUAUCAAACACUUAUUUUUCCAGAUUCAGUUAAGAAAUGAACGUACGAGACUGAUGGCUUUGUUGAUGGUAUCCGCGUCGUGCUCCUCUGUAUCACUGAGAAUAGAUAGUAGCAGUCCCAUGAAAUCUUCCUCACUAUUUGCCCCAUUUUCAGCUCUCUUUUCCUUGUGCUCUCGUAACCAUUCCUCCGCAACUUGGUCCAAAUCUUUGGCUACCUUCUUCAUAGACUUCUCGUCUCCACCUAUGUCCAACCAUCUCAGAUAAGGCAACGCAUCUGAUAUUAAGAACUUCCCACUUAGUUCAAAAAAGUCGUCUAACGACUUCUUCCAUUUCACGGUUUCAUCUCCUUCGUAUGAAUUCGGUAUCCGCUUCCCUAUAACGAUCCUUAGUAUUAUGUUUAGAGUAACAUCUCUGAACCAUCUCUUCAUGUCCACCAAUACUUUGUCACAGGUACUACUUUUCUUCUUGUUCCACAGCUGGUAUAAUUGUUGUAGGGAUGUCUUCACCUCCAAUUCCCUUACAUGUUUAAGCAAUUCGAGCCGGUGAUUUGAGAGGAGCUCAAUAGUGGAGAACUUGCGCACUUGACGCCAAUAAGGUCCAUAUGGUGCAAAGCCAAUCAUGGCACAGUUGUAACCAAAAUGUUCUGAGCUUGUAAGCUUUGGACGCGUGGCGAACGCUUUAUCGUUUAUGGUGAGGCAUUCUUUAGCAAUCUCCCAAUUGCUCACCACCAAAGCUCUAUGCAAACCCAACUUGAUGGUGAAGAUUCUUCCAUAUUUAUCGGCCAGGUUGCCCAAGCUUAUAUGAGGUGGUUGUGGCCCUCCUAAAAUGCGGAGAUGGCCAAUAAUAGGCCAUGCUCCACCAGCUUCUGGUGCUGUUUUCUUCAAGUGUGUGUUUCUUCUUGAGAUCCAUAGGAAAGAGAAAAGAAACAGUAGUGGAAAAGCAAUGAUUGCAACAGUUGAUGUUGCUGUGACUGAAUGAAAAUAAUCCAUUUCUGGAUUCUUACUUUAAUCUAAGAUCUAUAUGCAAUAGCGGAGAUGAGAGUUGGAUUUAUAGGGUUAAUUUAAUGUCACCACAGCCGCAGGGGUAUCAUCAUUCACCAUUUAUUCACGUUUAACUUAUGGUUCAAAAGGUAAUAAAUUCUCUCUAUGAAUUUUGUGUCUCGUUGUGGAAAACAGUGUAUUGACCUAGGAAAUUCAUAGAUCUAUAUGAGGGAGUUGGAUUUAUAGGGUUAAAUAUUGUCUUUUAGUUUAAGGUUGGAAAGAUAUAUAUAUAUAUUCUCUAUUUAUUUUGUCCCUCAUGGUUGAAAAUUGAGUAUAUCAACUGCUAAGUACUUUUGAGAAAUGCAUUAUUGAUCUUUAGUUGUCUGAAUGGCUAAUUGUGAUCAACCGCAAGAGCCAAAACAGUCCAUAUAGCAUUAGACCUCACAACUGGGCUAAACGUCUCAUAAUAAUCAUAGCUCUAUCACCAACCUGGAUUUAUAUCAAGCUAUUGAACCACCGGGUUCAUUUUGAUAUUAAAUAACUAUUUAUAACCAAUAUUCUUGAGAAGGGCAUCUAAUUCCUCCUUCACAGCUUCCUGCCAAGAUGGAUGCUUCAUCGCCUCAUGCACAUUCACAGGAUCAAUUUCCUCGUGUGCAACAACCAUAUAAGAUGUUGAUUGUUAUAAUCGGAUGCACUAAAGAUUACAAGAUUCUAAAUUUGUGAGUGAAUAUAAUUCUGUAAUAUUCAAGAUAAGUUUUCAAUUAAAUUUUAUUAUUAACAAGUCUUUAUUUUAUUUUAUUGAUUCCAUCAUUUUCCACUAAAACCGAUCAUAUGGUUCAAUUAAAAACAGACCCACGACAUGGAUCUCUAGAGUAAUAGAUUUCAUUAAUUUAAUCAAAACCAAAUCUGUGAUGACAAGUAAAUUUGUCAUUUUGGAAGUAUUCAUAUUGAUUUUUGAUUUCGUGUGUAAAUCAAUUUUGAUUAAACUUUUGUUUAAAUUAUAUUAUAGUUUAUUAGUUGAUUCCAUAGAUAUCGAUGAUAUUUUAUAAUAUUUCAUAUGUCUAAAAUCCAACAAACAAUAGUAGUUAAUUGCUGGAUUGGUAAAUAAAAGUAGGAAGACGAGGAGAUUAUUUAUUAAAUAUACGUCUAAAAUCAAACAAACUGUUAGUGUUUACACGUUAAAUUUGUUGGUAAUUUUUCUAAAAAAUAUUGAAGAGAGGAGAAGAAAGCUCUAGAUUAGAAUGAAAGUGGAAGACUUGAAUACACUUUAUUAUUGAAUACUCCAACACUUAUAUACUAGUAUCCAUAACUAAAAAUAGAGAUUAGAUCUAAAAAAAGCCAAGAAAUCUGGUAACUAUCUCCUAAAAUCAAAGAGAAUUAUUCAAACAAAAACAGAAAAAUGGAUGAGUGGCAGCAGCUUAAACAUGUGGCUUAACACAAACAAUAGAAAUUAAUUGCGGGAUUGGUAAACAAAAGUAGGAAGACGAGGAGAUAUUUGAACUUCCAAUGGAGUUGCUUUAGGGCUGGUCACUCCUGGACCUUCACGCAUAUCAACUAUUUCGUUUGUUAGAGUUUCAAUCUCGAACCAGUGCAAUAAAUUAGCUAAUGUAAGUUCCAGAAUCUUGAGCGCAAAUGAAACUCCAGGGCACAUUCUUCUUCCACUGCUAAAUGGAAUAAGUUCAAAGUCAUGUCCCUUUACAUCAAUAUCUUUAUGGGUAGUCAUAAAUCUUUCUGGUUGAAAUUUUAAAGGAUCUUCCCAUAUUUGUGGAUCACGUUGUAUCUUUUGAAGAUUAAGAAUAAGCCAAGUGCCAGUUGAAAUAUCGUAUCCAUGAACUGAGCAAUCUUCAAUGGCUUCAUGGAUUACAGCGAGUGGAGCAGCAGGAUAGAGGCGUAGUGUUUCUUUAAUGACAGAUUGGAGGUACACUAAGUUUUUAGUAUCUGAUUCUGUAACUAAGAGUCUAUCUUUACCAACAUGAAUGUCUAGUUCUUGUUUGACCUUCUUCAAUGCAUCGCGAUUAUUGAGUAAUAAAGAUAAAGCCCAUGUCAUUGUAAUUGAUGUGGUAUCUUC
rnacentral:lncRNA from 1 species